rnacentral:misc_RNA from 1 species
GAUGAAGAACGCAGCGAAAUGCGAUAAGUAAUGUGAAUUGCAGAAUUCAGUGAAUCAUCGAAUCUUAGAACGCACAUUGCGCCCCUUGGUAUUCCGAGGGGCAUGCCUGUUCGAGCGUCAUUAUAACCCCUCAAGCUCAGCUUGGUGUUGGGGCCUGCUGCACUGGCAGCCCUUAAAAUCAGUGGCGGCGCCAUCUGGCUCUAAGCGUAGUAAUUCUUCUCGCUAUGGAGUCCUGGUGGAUGCUUGCCAUCAACCCCCUAUUUUUCUAUGGUUGACCUCGGAUCAGGUAGGGAUACCCGCUGAACUUAAGCAUAUCAAUAAGCGGAGGA